AACAGGAUUAGAUACCCUGGUAGUCCACGCCCUAAACGAUGUCUACUAGUUGUCGGGCCUUAAUUGACUUGGUAACGCAGCUAACGCGUGAAGUAGACCGCCUGGGGAGUACGGUCGCAAGAUUAAAACUCAAAGGAAUUGACGGGGACCCGCACAAGCGGUGGAUGAUGUGGACUAAUUCGAUGCAACGCGAAAAACCUUACCUACCCUUGACAUGUACAGAAUCCCGAAGAGAUUUGGGAGUGUUCGAAAGAAAACUGUAACACAGGUGCCGCAUGGCUGUCGUCAGCUCGUGUCGUGAGAUGUUGGGUUAAGUCCCGCAACGAGCGCAACCCUUGUCAUUAGUUGCUACGAAAGGGCACUCUAAUGAGACUGCCGGUGACAAACCGGAGGAAGGUGGGGAUGGCGUCAAGUCCUCAUGGCCCUUAUGGGUAGGGCUUCACACGUCAUACAAUGGUACAUACAGAGGGCCGCCAACCCGCGAGGGGGAGCUAAUCCCAGAAAGUGUAUCGUAGUCCGGAUUGUAGUCUGCAACUCGACUACAUGAAGUUGGAAUCGCUAGUAAUCGCGGAUCAGCAUGUCGCGGUGAAUACGUUCCCGGGUCUUGUACACACCGCCCGUCACACCAUGGGAGCGGGUUUUACCAGAAGUAGGUAGCCUAACCGUAAGGAGGGCGCUUACCACGGUAGGAUUCGUGACUGGGGUGAAGUCGUAACAAGGUAACCGUA
rnacentral:rRNA from 1 species